UUUAUUAAAUAUAGGUAUAAACUAAGUGCAUCUCUUUUUUUAUACAAUCUAAUACUUCAUUAAAUAAAUUUUGUUUAUGUAGAUAAGGACUACGCCUAAUAUUAGAGUUAAUAUUGCAUCUACUGGAAGACAACUCGGCACACCUUAUGGGGAUUCAGGUCAUGAGGGACCCUCUACAUCACAUCAAGAAGAGGGUCUGACUAUUGUGACACCAUCUAUGGUGGACACUACCAUUAGGAUAGGUUAUCCUCAUAAUUUUGAUCAGAGCCAAUUUGAACGCACAUCGACAUCCUUUGAGGAGUUAGCUAGCACUGCAUUUGGUGUUGAUACUGCACAAGAUACUGCUAGAGGAGAUACUGCUACAGGAUCUGAUGAGCAUAUG